UGCAGUUUGCUGUUGCACACUCAAACGAGAGUGGAAAUUUUAAACUUCGAAUACAUUAUUCGCAUUGUGCAAACAGUUAAACUUCUGUACGAAUCUCGUACGCACAAGACUGCGAAAAGUAUAUUUUGACGUGAGUAAACCCGCGAUGGCGGAAAAUCGCAGAAGAUCGGCUUUAAGACCGCUGAAUGGUAACCUGGAUUAUUCGAGGAGACUCACUGCUCCAUCUUGUAUGACGUACAAGGAUCUGAUCAGGAUUGUUGGCGUCGAUCCCGAGUUAGGCCCGUCAUCCUGGCGGAAAGCGAUUGACCACUCCGCGGACACUGUUGUCUUUUACCAGGUUGAUCUGCGCGCCUGCGUCCCGCAUAUGAGCAAGAGUAUCCGCAUUCGUUGUGCGGAAGACAAGGGCCACCUCGUACCGUCUGUGUACAUCGGCAGCACACCGUUGAGUUUAUCCUUCAUGACGACCGUCAUCGGACGACCGUAUCUGGCCGAUGAAGACGAUCUGAUGAAGCUCCUUGAGUAUGUCGGGGUGUUGCUGGGUUCGGAAGUUAUCCUCGGGCAGACAAGCGAAUCUGUUUGCUUUUCUCCAGAAACCGCGGAGAACAUCCAGAUUGCUUCGUUACCAGAUGCAGCGGAUUUACCAGAUGAUGAAAUAGUGGAAGCAGCGCCGAAACGAGCGAGGCAUUUCGUGGAUGAUUCGGAGAAAACUGCGUUUGAUGCGGACAAUAUGACUACUGACGAAACAGAAACUGCGAAUGAUGACCAACCAACUCAUCGCAGUGCCAUUGAUCUCGGGGAUCUCUUUACUGGAGCAUUACCGCCUUUGCCAUUAAAAGAGGCUCCUCGAAGCCGUCGAAGGCGAAAAACACCAAAACUAUCAACCGGAUUGAGAGAAAAGAGUGACGCCAGCCACGAAGUGGAGGUGGGGGAAGGAGACGGCCACGAAAUUGCACCUUCCACUGCCCAUACAGUUCGGAAUGGUACCACGGAAUCAGUCAGCAAAGAAAAAUUCAAAGAUUUGUGUUUAGAUGGUUUUGUACCCGAUAGCACAAGCGAAGAUUACUAUGUGGGUUCCCGGACAUUUGAACGUCACUUCGCUUUAAAAAACCCUCCACGGGUACUCAAAUCCGCCUGUCGCCUCGAGGAUACCACGUCUCCUUGGUGUUUUCAGAUGGAUGGUCCGGACAUGAUGAUCCUGGAUGAAAGCUUCCCAAACAUUUUCGUCGACAACCGAUACCAUUUAUUGGAUUCCAAAUUUCUGAAGCAUACGCUUACACCCGAACAGUAUAUUUGGUACUUGAUGUCGCGAUUAUUGGGCGGUACCCCCGGAUUAAUACGUUUGGCCACGGUGUACGAUGUGCGAAAGGAAGAGAGUGAUGGAAAGCGACAGUAUAAUUUUUACGAGAGCGUCUUAGGAUCGGAUUUCUUUCGGGUUGUCGAGAAGAAAGCCAGUGAUUUGGUGCGUGAAAUGAUUCCGGAAGGGGAAAUGGAUUCAUCUGCAUUAGCUGGUAUUGUUAAGAAUUUACCGAGUUUACCGCCUUCCUUGCAAUCUUUCUUUGGUCAUAAGUUUGCAAACUGGAUGGAUAAGUAUCGUCAAAUAUGUCGUAAAAGAAAGAAGGUUAAUUAGUGCCUGAUUUGUUUAGGUUUCUGUUAUACGUUGUAUUGCUAAUGCACGCUGAUUUUGCGGUUGUGUAGCGCACAGAUAUGUAAAUGAAGUUUCCGUUGUAUCAUGGAAAUGUUCCUGCAUCGUCUUGCUGAGGAACACAUUUUGAUUCUCAAGUUAAGACAUAUUUUGUGCACCAUGCAGGCCACCAGCUCGCGCUGUAUGAGAUGCACGAAAAAUGAAGAAGUAAUCAGUGUCGGCAUGAUUGAUCGAGCAUUAUGUCGUCAGGAUUUUACGAUGCGCCCUAAGACCAAAGUUCUGUGUCGUUUCAGGUGCUAGAACGUUUUUUUGCGCAAGUAUAAUUUUUUUCGGCGUUUUUAACAUUUUGAUGAUUAAGUAUUUAAAAUCUCUUUGUGGGCGUAGUGUGUCAAUAUUAAACAAAUCACGAUUUUGACGCAAGUGUCCAGUCUACAAUCUUAUUCUAGCCAGCUACGCUAACUUAUAUGCAAAUGCAGCAUAAGUAUUUAGCGGCACUAACCUCUGUGAAAGCGAACUUUGUUCAAACAGAAGCGUGUGAAUAUCAACUAUUAAUCAGAAAUUGCUACAUAUAAAACGCUAAUGCAGCAUCGUUUAUGUACAUUAAGCAGAUUUUUUGUUUCGUUCAUUAAUGAUCGGCUUUUAGGGAAGGCGCAAGUCAACAUUAUCAGCUGCACACAUACAUGUCGGCAGAAUCAUCUGUCAAAAAACCACUCGUGCUGAGUAUACUUAGUGAGUAGUUUUCCCAACAUAAUCCAUAAUGGGAACUAGUUACUUAUAGGAUAGACGUGCAACACAGACCGCUCGCAAUGUCGGUGUAGUAGUCCAAGUUCUAAACAGUUUUGUUCAAGUGUUUAUGCAAAACGUUGUUCUAGAUACAAGAAUUUCAGAUCAAAGAACUAUGUUGGACCGAAAGGAAAUCUCGAUAAAAGGAGCAAGAUGCUGUUCAUUUUUCCCUUUGCGGUACAUGUUUGCGGUGGUGGCCUUUUUGGGCAUGUUUAAUUUGUAUGCAUUGCGGGUGAAUUUGAGCGUCGCCAUUGUGGCGAUGGUGAACCACACUAGCAUUGCCGG